AAAAAAAAUUACACAAGCUUUACACAUAAUUACCUAGAAAAGACCGACUAAUUGAAGGCCUACUGGCCUCAGAUGAUUGGACCUCCCUAAGUAUAAUGUUUAUAUUGUAGUUUCCUAUUGCUGAUUAAGUGUUUCGGCUCUGUUCGCGCAGAUUUGACGGUCAUUCUGUAAUCUACGAGUUAUUUAGUGCGACAGUUCUAGCAACUGUGUUCAGCCCAUAACAUUGUUUCUUCAGUGUAACAGCCUUUAAGGCUCAGUAAACAGCACAUUAAAAGUGAAGAAAGAAAAAAAAAAAACUUACGUUGUCAAAGAAAGACCAGGGGCGGUAUUCUCGGGCGACACUUUCGGACAUGCUUUCAGUUUCGCCAGAUUUCACGUGACUAGCGCCGGACGCGUUCGGCGUCUACAGGCGACAGCGCGCUUGGCCAGCGCUGGCUUGGCAUUGUUCUAGGAACGCUGUCGCUCGUAGACGCUCAAGUGACCUAGUCACUAUAAAUUUUGCGACACUCAAAAAUCAUCGCCCGAGACGCGGGCAAUCAUCGCACGUAAAGACGCGGGCAUUUCAGCAUACUUGACAUCAACAACGCGGUUCGUGAUUCCUGAUCGCCAUGGAACGGAAGAGACGUCGCUGGACCGCAAAGCCACGUCCGAAAUGCUGCAUCCUGCGUGACAACUUCUGGUCGUUGCCUCCUCAUGCAACACUGAUGGCGAUUUAAUAAAACGUGUCUCAGAA